AACGAACGCUGGCGGCAUGCCUAACACAUGCAAGUCGAACGAGACCUUCGGGUCUAGUGGCGCACGGGUGCGUAACGCGUGGGAACCUGCCCGUAGGUUCGGAAUAACUCCCCGAAAGGGGGGCUAAUACCGGAUAAUGCCUGCGGACCAAAGAUUUAUCGCCUUUGGAUGGGCCCGCGUUGGAUUAGCUAGUUGGUAGGGUAAAAGCCUACCAAGGCGACGAUCCAUAGCUGGUCUGAGAGGAUGAUCAGCCACACUGGGACUGAGACACGGCCCAGACUCCUACGGGAGGCAGCAGUGGGGAAUAUUGGACAAUGGGCGAAAGCCUGAUCCAGCAAUGCCGCGUGAGUGAUGAAGGCCUUAGGGUUGUAAAGCUCUUUUACCCGGGAUGAUAAUGACAGUACCGGGAGAAUAAGCUCCGGCUAACUCCGUG
rnacentral:rRNA from 1 species